CACAGAGGAGCAGGAAGACCUGGUGUGAAGAACAGUCAGGUCAUCUCUGGACACAGCUUAUUGAAACCAAGCAGCUAAACGAGCCACAGUCACUCUUCACUGUUCUGCAUUUGUCUGCAGCAGCAGAGAGACAAACCAAGAGAAAGGUUUCUUUUCUUUACAUCCUCGUUUCAGUAAAACUGUGACAUGGUUCACAUUCUACAUUCAGUCCUGUUCCUUCAGCUGCACACUCAAUCAUAUCCUUUAUAUUUAUUCUGAAUUACUUAAAUUGUAGCUCAUUGUUUUGCUGCUUUACUAUUGAAGGAAGAUGUGUUUUCUGAUCAAGUUGUAGUUUCCAGUUGCUGCCACUAGAUGUCAGUAAAGCUUAGUUUACUGCCACAUCCCAUUCUCACUGCCUGUAUAUACAUUUUAUACUAAUAUUCAUCAUCAGAGCUGGUUUAUUAUUUAUCAACUGUCCAUAUUCGUUAUUAUUUCUGUCUUAAUUUAACUUCACUCACUCUAUUAUUUGCUUCUUAUUUCAUUUUCAUUUAAUUUAUUUUUUAAAUCUUUCUUUGACGUGUCUUUUUUUAAUAAUAAUUUUUCUUGCCCCUGUCUUUACAUGUAUUUUUGACGCACACUGUUCUGCAUCUUUUUGACACACUGAACUGUUCUUACACAGAUGAUGAGAUUAAACAUAUCUUUAGUCUUCUUUAAA